rnacentral:rRNA from 1 species
GAUGAACGCUGGCGGCGUGCCUAAUACAUGCAAAUCGAGCGAACGGACGAGAAGCUUGCUUUUCUGAUGUUAGCGGCGGACGGGUGAGUAACACGUGGAUAACCUACCUAUAUGACUGGGAUAACUUCGGGAAACCGGAGCUAAUACCGGAUAAUAUUUUGAACCGCAUGGUUCAAAAGUGAAAGACGGCCUUGCUGUCACUUAUAGAUGGUUCCGCGCUGCAUUAGCUAGUUGGUAAGGUAACGGCUUACCAAGGCAACGAUGCAUAGCCGACCUGAGAGGGUGAUCGGCCACACUGGAACGGAGACACGGUCCAGACUCCUACGGGAGGCAGCAGUAGGGAAUCUUCCGCAAUGGGCGAAAGCCUGACGGAGCAACGCCGCGUGAGUGAUGAAGGUCUUCGGAUCGUAAAACUCUGUUAUUAGGGAAGAACGUAUGUGUAAGUAACUGUGCACAUCUUGACGGUACCUAAUCAGGAAGCCACGGCUAACUACGUG